AUUGAACGCUGGCGGCAGGACUAACACAUGCAAGUCGAGCGGAUGAGGAGAGCUUGCUCUCUGAUUUAGCGGCGGACGGGUGAGUAAUGCCUAGGAAUCUGCCUGGUAGUGGGGGAUAACGUUCCGAAAGGAACGCUAAUACCGCAUACGUCCUACGGGAGAAAGCAGGGGACCUCCGGGCCUUGCGCUAUCAGAUGAGCCUAGGUCGGAUUAGCUAGUUGGUGAGGUAAUGGCUCACCAAGGCGACGAUCCGUAACUGGUCUGAGAGGAUGAUCAGUCACACUGGAACUGAGACACGGUCCAGACUCCUACGGGAGGCAGCAGUGGGGAAUAUUGGACAAUGGGCGAAAGCCUGAUCCAGCCAUGCCGCGUGUGUGAAGAAGGUCUUCGGAUUGUAAAGCACUUUAAGUUGGGAGGAAGGGUUGUAGAUUAAUACUCUGCAAUUUUGACGUUACCAACAGAAUAAGCACCGGCUAACUUCGUGCCAGCCGCCGCCGUAACAC
rnacentral:rRNA from 1 species